UGGGGAAUUUUGGACAAUGGGCGAAAGCCUGAUCCAGCAAUGCCGCGUGUGUGAAGAAGGCCUUCGGGUGUGAUAAGCACUUUUGUCCGGAAAGAAAUCCUUGGCUCUAAUACAGUCGGGGGAUGACGGUACCGGAAGAAUAAGCACCGGCUAACUACGUGCCAGCAGCCGCGGUAAUACGUAGGGUGCAAGCGUUAAUCGGAAUUACUGGGCGUAAAGCGUGCGCAGGCGGUUUGCUAAGACCGAUGUGAAAUCCCCGGGCUCAACCUGGGAACUGCAUUGGUGACUGGCAGGCUAGAGUAUGGCAGAGGGGGGUAGAAUUCCACGUGUAGCAGUGAAAUGCGUAGAGAUGUGGAGGAAUACCGAUGGCGAAGGCAGCCCCCUGGGCCAAUACUGACGCUCAUGCACGAAAGCGUGGGGAGCAAAACAGGAUUAGAUACCCUGGUAGUCCACGCCCUAAAACGAUGUCAACUAGUUGUUGGGGAUUCAUUUCCUUAGUAACGUAGCUAACGCGUGAAGUUGACCGCCUGGGGAGUACGGUCGCAAGAUUAAAACUCAAAUGAAUUGACGGGGUCAUAGCUGUUUCCU
rnacentral:rRNA from 1 species